rnacentral:tRNA from 2 species
GUAAUGCGAUAGCUCAGUCUGGUUAGAGCAAUAGAAGUUUACGCAGGUUCGAUUCCUGCACCACUCCU